CCCUAAAAAGCUCUAAGAAUAU
rnacentral:tRNA from 1 species